rnacentral:rRNA from 1 species
AUUGAACGCUGGCGGCAUGCCUUACACAUGCAAGUCGAACGGUAACGCGGGGCAACCUGGCGACGAGUGGCGAACGGGUGAGUAAUGCAUCGGAACGUGCCCAGUAGUGGGGGAUAGCCCGGCGAAAGCCGGAUUAAUACCGCAUACGACCUACGGGUGAAAGGGGGGGAUCGCAAGACCUCUCGCUAUUGGAGCGGCCGAUGUCAGAUUAGGUAGUUGGUGGGGUAAAGGCCUACCAAGCCGACGAUCUGUAGCUGGUCUGAGAGGACGACCAGCCACACUGGGACUGAGACACGGCCCAGACUCCGACGGGAGGCAGCAGUGGGGAAUUUUGGACAAUGGGCGCAAGCCUGAUCCAGCCAUGCCGCGUGCGGGAAGAAGGCCUUCGGGUUGUAAACCGCUUUUGUCAGGGAAGAAAUCUUCUGGGUUAAUACCUCGGGAGGAUGACGGUACCUGAAGAAUAAGCACCGGCUAACUACGUGCCAGCCGCCGCGGUAAAAC